AUAACUUGUAUGGUCUCUCCACACUUCAAAUGUCAGGAGAUGUAAUGACUUCUUGGAAACAAAUUAUGCGUUGACAAAGGCUUGUCCUGAGACUAAUGCAGUUUUUGGCAAACCUGGUUUUAGAAAGAGAAUCUUGGCUGUGAAGAAAUGAAGAGAACAGAAGAAAUGUCCAAGAUGCACACAGUAAAAGUACUCUGCCUGUCAUACCCACUGAAAUUAUACUGACUGUAGUCCAGGAGCAUGAUGAACCACAGAAGGGAGUAAUUAUGAGUACUCACAAUAAAGCCAUAUAUGAAGCUCAACAUGAGCAAAGUGUAACCACAGAAUAGAUAUUGGCCAGUGUUGAGAAGUCAGAGUCUGUUCCAGCUUUCAGGAUUCCCUGCUAUUCCUCAGAGAGCUUCAAAGAAGGUAAAUGCUACUUCAGCUUCACUGCAGUUGGCUUGAUUGUACAUUAAUUAUUCUGAUGAUGAU
rnacentral:lncRNA from 1 species